rnacentral:rRNA from 1 species
UACGUAGGUGGCAAGCGUUGUCCGGAUUUACUGGGCGUAAAGAGCGCGCAGGCGGUCGUUCAAGUCGCGUGUGAAAGCCCCCGGCUCAACUGGGGAGGGUCACGCGAUACUGAUCGACUCGAAGGCAGGAGAGGGUAGUGGAAUUCCCGGUGUAGUGGUGAAAUGCGUAGAUAUCGAGAGGAACACCAGUGGCGAAGGCGAGUCCCUGGACAUCUGUUGACGCUGAGGUGCGAAAGCGUGGGGAGCAAACAGG